CUGUCUGUCCAAUUUUUCACAUGCACUCCCAUCUCCCAUCACUUUAACCCUUUCUUUUCCUUUAUCUUUCUCUGCCACCGCAUCAAAUCCAUUGCCUCUCGCCGAUAAAACUCUCUAAUUUCAUCAAAUUUUGGGCAUUUUUCUAAACGCUUGCUCAAAGUUAAGUGGAUUUGAGUCCUACAAGUCAUCUUCAAGGUUUGCCCAAUUUCUUACUAUUCCUGCGAUUGUCAUUUCCUUCAUCCUUGGCAAACAAAAUCCUAAUUGUGGGAAUAGGUUUUCAUUCACCGUGAAGAUUGCAGGAAGAGUGAACAGGUUGCUCACCUCGUGCCGACAGAUUGCAGAAGGGUUUUGAAUCUUUUCUGUUCUGCUAAUAUUUGAGAGAAUGGUUAUUGGUGUGGGAUUUGAUUGCGACCCAAUGAUUUUUCACAGCAGAUGAAAAAGGAAUAUGGAUUAUGGCACAGAACUUGAAGCUCAUUCCAUUAUGUAGCAGAUUAUGUCUUCUAUUGUUCAAGAAAGAAGGGUACCAGUCUCACGUAUUAAGCUGUUUGUCUGCAUAAGAAAAUAUUGAAAUUAAUUGGUCCUAUUUGGUUUUGUCAUCUUCAAGAAUUUCUUUAAGAUUCCUUGAUGAGAGAAAAUGGCAACUUCGAAUUCAAGAUAUAGUUCACAGUUGAGAGCAAGUGCUUGACUGAUGUUACUACAUACACGAUAUUUAGAGAGCACUUCAGUGGUUGAGUAAAGCUAGAGAACAAGAUUUCUAGAGUUUCUCUACAUGGAGACCAAUGUGGAAAUGCAGAUUGCAUUGAUAUUGGCAGUCAACCAAAGGAUUUGAGCAUUGCCAUUCUUUCCCCUGAUCUUGCCUUGGUGUCAAUUGAAACUGGAGAUGUCCUCCUGCGCGGUGCAAAUGUCUUGUCUACCACUAAUCUUGGAUUCGUUGUAACAGCAUGUACCAUUGCGCCUGAUGGAACAGGGGCAAUUGUGGGCAGUCAAGAUGGGAAGUUGCAUGUAUAUUCCAUCACAGGUGAUAUUCUGAGAGGCAGUACUUAAAAAAAUCGGGUGGCAAUCACUGUCAUUCGCUACUCUCCAGAUGUUUCCAUGUUUCCACGUUUGCAUUAGCAGAUGCUAAUCAAGAAGCUGUUGUCUGGGACCGUACUUCCCAUGAGUAUUACUUCCCGUGAGGUAUCGAAUAUAUAGUCAUCCCUAUUAUUGAAUGAUUUCCAGGCUCCUCCAUUGCAAAAGAUGGUUUGACGGAUGUCUUCUCCAAACUUGUUGCAAGAGUUCAAGAAAUAUUGUCUUUUCAAGUAUUGCAAUUAAUAUUUGAUAUGAAGACGAAACAUAAUUAGAUUUCUCUAUUGAAUAGCCGCACUUGUGUAUUUCUGCAAGACAAUAUUGAUGAAUGUGUUGGAAUUUAUUAUUGGUCGCGUUAUUGUUGUUCA